GAGUAUUUUUGCAUGGCAAUGUCCUAAGGUGUUACAAGAUUACAUAGUUACUUCAUCUUUCUAAAGAAUAAAGCCCUUGGGUGUAUGGCCUACUAAGUAUUUUGAGGUUUAUAAUAAAGGAAUGAGGUUCUGUGAGGAUUAUAUCAUAAGAAACAUGGAAGCAAGGUUCCAAGAUGGAAGCGUUGUGUACCAUGAAGGUUCCGAUAACUAAUAAAUAAUAUCAAGGAAUCCCAAAGAGGAGAGUAAUCUGUGUGUAAUUGAUUAUUUGAGAUUUUUCAAGCUAUAUAGAGUGCAGUCAUUUUUUUCUUGCCUGGAUUACUCUCAUAUAUCUACUCUUUCUAAGAGGACCAUUGGGGGCCAUGAGUGGUCUUUACCUAAUGCUGGUUAUGAUAAGUAGGGUUGCAUGGCAGGUUGGCUGGAUAUUGCCCUAGCUUUGGCUGCAGAGAGUGCCUGCUCUCGGGAGAGAUUUUUUCAUUUGCACUCUAUGCCCCAAGAUUUUAAUUGGUGCACUACACGAUUGGUCUCCUCUAAGAAUGCCACUAUAAAAUAUUUUCAUUUAUAUUUCCCUUGUAUUGAAAUUGACUAAGUUAAAUACAGAAUAUGCAGAAAAUUUGUCUCAUUUUGUGCCCCUUCAAUCCUACCACACAAGUCCAUUGGAAUCUAGGUUAAUUGACAGAUGGUUCUGCCUAUAUGAGGUAAUAAUCCUAGUUUUUUAUUUUCUUUUGCGACAGUGGUGAUACAGAUGCCAUAAUUCCAGUUACAUCCACACGGUACAGCAUAGAUGCUCUUAAGCUUCCAACUCUCGGUCGUUGGCAUGCUUGGUAUGAUGAUGGACAGGUUGGAGGAUGGACACAGCAGUACAUAGGUCUCACAUUUGUGACAGUGAGGGGAGCUGGCCAUGAAGUGCCCCUGCAUAGACCAAAACAAGCUCUUGCACUCAUCAAAAACUUCUUAUCAGGAAAUUCAAUGCCGACCUUUGAACAAGUUCGUGACUCAUAAACUUCUAUUUUGGGAGGGGAGUCUGCUGGAGGGAUGGAAUGUUGAUGGUGGUGGCACCUAGCAGCCCCUUCAAGUUGGCAUUAAUCAUGAACACUGAGUUUGAACUGUCCUGAAUGAUAAAAGAAUAAUUGGAGUCCAUUGGAACUUGGUAGCAUAUCCAAUGCAUCUAACUUGUCCUGGUUGAGGGGAUUGGUUUGCUGAAGCCAUUAAAAGGACAAAUCGAAAUUAAAUUCAAUUUUAUAUUAUAUUUUGUUAUAA